rnacentral:rRNA from 1 species
GAUGAACGCUGGCGGCGUGCCUAAUACAUGCAAGUAGAACGCUGAAGCUUGGUGCUUGCACCGAGCGGAUGAGUUGCGAACGGGUGAGUAACGCGUAGGUAACCUGCCUCUUAGCGGGGGAUAACUAUUGGAAACGAUAGCUAAUGCCGCAUAAAAGUCGAUAUCGCAUGAUGUUGACUUGAAAGGUGCAAUUGCAUCACUAAGAGAUGGACCUGCGUUGUAUUAGCUAGUUGGUGAGGUAACGGCUCACCAAGGCGACGAUACAUAGCCGACCUGAGAGGGUGAUCGGCCACACUGGGACUGAGACACGGCCCAGACUCCUACGGGAGGCAGCAGUAGGGAAUCUUCGGCAAUGGGGGCAACCCUGACCGAGCAACGCCGCGUGAGUGAAGAAGGUUUUCGGAUCGUAAAGCUCUGUUGUAAGAGAAGAACGAGUGUGAGAGUGGAAAGUUCACACUGUGACGGAACUACCAGAAAGG